UACGUAGGUGGCGAGCGUUGUCCGGAUUUACUGGGCGUAAAGAGCGCGCAGGCGGUCGUUCAAGUCGCGUGUGAAAGCCCCCGGCUCAACUGGGGAGGGUCAUUCGAUACUGCUCGGCUCGAAGACAGGAGAGGGAAGUGGAAUUCCCGGUGUAGUGGUGAAAUGCGUAGAUAUCGGGAGGAACACCAGUGGCGAAGGCGACUUUCUGGCCUGUUCUUGACGCUGAGGCGCGAAAGCUAGGGGAGCGAACAGG
rnacentral:rRNA from 1 species